UACGGAGGGUGCAAGCGUUGUUCGGAAUUAUUGGGCGUAAAGGGCAGGUAGGUGGUCUUAAAAGUCUACUGUGAAAUCCCCGAGCUUAACUUGGGAAGUGCGGUAGAUACUCUAAGACUAGAGUGCUGGAGGGGUUCGUGGAAUUCCCGGUGUAGCGGUGAAAUGCGUAGAUAUACGGGAGGAACACCAGAGGCGAAGGCGGCGAACUGGACAGCAACUGACACUCAACUGGCGAAAGCGUGGGGAGCAAACAGG
rnacentral:rRNA from 1 species